rnacentral:lncRNA from 1 species
CUCUUAUAUGUGAUGAUGGUGAGGAAUCAUCUAUUGAAAAAACUCACAUCCUCUUCUUUUCUGUAUCAAAAAAUUGAAGAAAUGGAUGAGUUAUGGGUGAUGAAAAAUCAAAGAGGAAUUAAGAGGGUUACCUAACAAAUGGAGUAGCCAAAGAAUCUUUGACUAGGAUUAGCAGUGGUUUAUGAGGUUUUCAUGGAUGCCCUUAACCCAC